CAGCAGCCACGGGAAUACGUAGGGUGCGAGCGUUAAUCGGAAUUACUGGGCGUAAAGCGUGCGCAGGCGGUUUUGUAAGACAGGCGUGAAAUCCCCGGGCUCAACCUGGGAAUGGCGCUUGUGACUGCAAAGCUAGAGUGCGGCAGAGGGGGAUGGAAUUCCGCGUGUAGCAGUGAAAUGCGUAGAUAUGCGGAGGAACACCGAUGGCGAAGGCAAUCCCCUGGGCCUGCACUGACGCUCAUGCACGAAAGCGUGGGGAGCAAACAGGAUUAGAUACCCGUGUAGUCCCUGUCUUCUUAUU
rnacentral:rRNA from 1 species